GAUGAAGAACGCAGUGAACGUGCGAAACGUAAUGUGAAUUGCAGAAUUCAGUGAAUCAUCGAAUCUUUGAACGCACAUUGCGCCCGCCAGUAUUCUGGCGGGCAUGCCUGUUCGAGCGUCAUUUCAACCAUCAAGCCCCCGGCUUGUGUUGGGGACCUGCGGCUGCCGCAGGCCCUGAAAAGCAGUGGCGGGCUCGCUGUCACACCGAGCGUAGUAGCAUACAUCUCGCUCUGGGCGUGCUGCGGGUUCCGGCCGUUAAACCACCUUCAUAACCCAAGGUUGACCUCGGAUCAGGUAGGAAGACCCGCUGAACUUAAGCAUAUCAAUAAGCGGAGGA
rnacentral:misc_RNA from 1 species